rnacentral:lncRNA from 1 species
AUUAAGUCAGCUUUAUUUAGUAAGGUCAGAACCAUUCCUGACCGCUGAGAGCACUCGUUUCAGGUUCUUGAGGCUGGCUGUCUCAGCGGGUGGCAGAGUCCCACAAUGGCUGUCUCUCGCUGAGCAAGGUCUGACAAUGGAUGGUUGCUCAAAGCAUCAGAAACCUUCUGCCAGUGAGGUUUCAUACGCAGGUGAUUGUAAUUUGCAGUGAGUCGACCUUAAAACCAACGGUAGUGAACGUCACCCUGUGGGUCUGUUGGGAGUUAAAUGAGAUGGUGCAGCUAGAUCCGGAAUUCGGCGCUCAGGAGAGCUCAGAGGAUGGCCUUCCUGGUUAGCCGGCAUUCAUCAGGAUGACAGCUCACUGUGCUGUCACUCUUCCUGGGUGGUUUUUUUAUUUCACAUUUUCAUAACAGUCUCUGAUGAUUUCAUUCGAAGGAGGAAGGUCUCUGGGAGUUUCCUGUGUGCACAAUGGGGUCACCAGGUUUCCCUAGGCAUGUACCCAAGGAUGCCACCACCAUAUUUGCUUUGGUAUUUAAAAUAAAGGCCACACUGAAUCUCGUGCUUUCGUUGUAACCAAAGAACACCUGGCUCGACUGUUCUUGCCAAUACAUAAUUACCACAGCACUCAGAGGAAUUCCAGGGACAAAGUGCCCAGGGAUGGGACACACUCCUCUCCUCACUGUCUCAUGGGAGUCAGGGUUAGCAUGACUAGCACGAGUCCCAUGUCCUACCUGGGACAGUGUCACAUAUCUCUGUGGUCCCUAAGUGAUUAUUAAUAGCAAUUUUUUUCUUUUAAU